AAUCGAUAAAUGCUUUCGUAGCUUCAUCUCAUCACCGUGACGCAACACCAUUGUAAGAUCAGUCGACUUUUAGAAACAACAAGUAAUAAAGAGCAUAAAACUGCCAUCGAAAUAGAAAUGUGAGUGAUUUUGUUGUGAUGAUAUAACAUUUAAUGUGUUUACAAACGAUUACAUAAUUAUAUCAACACAAUAAAAAAUUAGACAUAUUUUUAACAUGAUGCAUAUUGCUGCAUCUCGAGUUGAAAAUACAUAAAUAUCAUGAAGAUUUUCUCCAUAUACGACGCCCGUUUAAUGCCGUGACCAUAGUUAUUUCCGUAAUGGCGUCAUCCCGUUACAAAAUAUGAAUUUUCUCAAAGAGUAAUAAAUGACAGAUAACUAGAUUAAUAUACAAAUUACAAUUAGAUCGAAGUUAUCAGUUAGACAAAAGAGAUCGAUUUUACAAUAAGAGAUAACAAUUGUAAAAACAAUCAAUUUUUUAAAAGUUAAAGUGUUUGGCAUGGAGAGGAACAUCAGCAGUCGUAAUGAUACAUUUAUCGUUGCUAGACUAAAAACAGUAUAUGCUAUAAAUCUAAAGAAUGUUUACGUGAAAAGCUGUGAGAAUAAUAUUUUUAUGUUUUAAAUUUAUACACGUUAUGAUAAAUUUGUGAAAAUCACCAUACCAAAUUCAUAAAUCAAAUAAUCACCAAAUUAGUGCUUUAAAUAUAUAAAAAUAUACUUUCACUCGGGAAAAAAGUGUAUAAUACAUUCAAAAAAAAAACAAUGAUUGCGUAAUUUUCUCAGUAUAGAUUUUAUAUAAUUCAUGUUAAAUUAUUACCUAUGUGUGCUAUACUGUUCGCACGUUUUGUGUGAUGCAUUUUAGACGAUUAUAUAUUUAUGCAUAAAAAAACCAAGAUUUUUGACAUCCAAUUUAUAUCGAAGAUUCUAACGGUGAUACAAAUCAAACGAACAAUUUAUGGAAUUUGAACUAGAAAUCUAAAUAUUUUACAUAAAGCUGAUAUUUCCAUAUAUGUAUAUAUAGGCAGCGAAAAACAUGGCAAAAUUUGAUGGUACUGCGCAUCGGAACUUUCUACUUCGUAAAACACGAAAUUAAAACAAAAAAAAUUAUAUCAAAUUCUUAGAACAAACCAAAUACAGAGAUUCUCGAAGAGAAUUGCCAUUUGACACAACGAAGCAUAUUUAUUCAUCAAAAACUUGUGAUAUUUUUAGCGCUUCCUCUGUCGAUGUCAUGGAUAUUGUAUAGAAUUUCCGAAACAUUUCAAGACGUUUUCCUAAGGUGACAUUGUUUCGAUUGUCUCGGCCAUUUUACAUAGCGUACCUUCUAGCUAUAACGAUAUUAAUGUCGCAAUAAAAUGAGUACCCAACAUAUUUCAUUUCAGAAUUUUUUAGUAGUUCCUCAGAAUACUGUCACUCCCAAUUCUACUUCCUAUUCUAACCCGUGAAGAUAUUGACGUGUGUAUUGCAUCCUGAAAUGUCGAUAUAAAUGCUAACAGCAUACGCAUACAAAAUAAAAAAACCCUCCGAGAUAAUAAAUCGAAGUCUUUUCUUCCCUUUCGAUCGUAUUAUCUUACGACUCGUAUCGAUACGAAACAGUCACGACUUUUGCCAGAUCCGUACUUUUUUAACGCGAACGGAAAAU
rnacentral:lncRNA from 1 species